AACGUAGGACGCAAGCGUUAUCCGGAGUUACUGGGCGUAAAGCGCGGGCAGGCGGUCUUGCCAGUCUGGUGUGAAAUCUCCUCGCUCAACGGGGAGCAGCCAUUGGAAACUACAAGACUGGAGUCUGACAGAGGUAGGCGGAAUUCCGGGUGGAGUGGUGAAAUGCGUAGAGAUCCGGAGGAACACCAGAGGCGAAGGCGGCCUACUGGGUCAGUACUGACGCUGAGCCGCGAAAGCCAGGGGAGCGAACGGG
rnacentral:rRNA from 1 species